CUUGAAACCAAAAAUAUAUUUUUCCUAAAACAAAAUAAUAAUACCCACGGGGCCGACAAAGGAGAGCAUGGGCCUUGGCUAUAAAUACUGUUUUAGUAUUCAAUCCUCUAGGGUUCCGCCUCCAAACCUUCCCUUCACUCCAUCGUUGGAAUCUGAAUUUUGGGCAUCUGAGUCGGUGUAUUUCGAAACUUCAUAUAUUCUUGUUGGAUAAUCAGAAUCAUAUAGGUUGAUACUGCAAGAAUCGCAGUUGGAAUCGUUCAUGUUAGAGGUUUGUCUGAAUGUGUUUAUUCCAAAAUUUGGGAAAAACGUUAGCCAAUCAUAAUGAAAGUCGAUAUAUUGUAAACCCUUUCACCAACCUUAAAGCUUAGAUCUCUCCCAAAGUUAAUUAUUAUGCCAUAUUUGGGUCUUUCAACCUUCGUAAUGGGAUUUGGUCCGAAGAUUCUAGUGUUGUUUAUUGAAACUGCAUAAAUCAAACUUUCGUAAAUCAAAACUGAAUACUGGCUGAAAUCGAAUUUUGUGA